rnacentral:misc_RNA from 1 species
ACAUAUUGUUUAUUAUAUCUGUAACAGCAAGCAAUCUGGUAAAGAUAGAGAAUUUCCUCUUCACAAGCCUGGAAAUUUUUCCAAAGGUUAAGUAGAGAGGAGCAGACCGCAGAGAUGCAUCAGAAUCAGACCAAAUCGUCAGUAUCAUCAUCAGCCUCCUCCGUAUUACUGCACUCUGCUAAAACCCGUGGAUUCUUAUAGUGGUUAACAGCUUUAACUAUUGCUGGAAGUCUCUUAGAUGGAUUCCAACUGUAGGCAUGUUCGAAUUCAAAGAUUUCUGAUCUAAUACACACCCCAUCACAACCCAAAUGCAUCAUCAGUGCUGCAUCAGCA